AUUGAACGCUGGCGGCAGGCCUAACACAUGCAAGUCGAGCGAGCGGCGGACGGGUGAGUAAUGCCUAGGAAUCUGCCUGGUAGUGGGGGAUAACGUCCGGAAACGGUAGCUAAUACCGCAUACCAUCAGAUGUGCCCCGGUGGGAUUAGCUAGUGUGUGGGGUAACGGCUCAACUAGGCGACGAUCCCUAGCUGGUCGGAGAGGAUGACCAGCCAAAUUGGAAGGUGGCCACUGUCCAGACUCCGACGUGAGGAAGCAGUGGUGAAUAUUGCACAAUUGGAUCAAGCCUGAUGCAGCCAUGCCGCGUGUGUGAAGAAGUCCUUCGGGUUGUAAAGCACUUUCAGCUGGGAGGCGUUACCCGCAGAAGAAGCACCGGCUAACUCCGUGCCAGCAGCCGCGGUAAUUC
rnacentral:rRNA from 1 species